rnacentral:rRNA from 1 species
UGGAAUAUGCUUGUUUCAAAGACUAAGCCAUGCAUGUCUGAGCAUGCGCUGAAGUAGAGUGGAGCCGCGAAUAGCUCAUUACAACAGCCGUUGUUUCUUGGAUCUCUUCUCUACUUGGAUAACUGUGGUAAUUCUAGAGCUAAUAGAGGCAAUCGAGCCCUGAUCGUGAGUGACGGGCGCAUUUAUUAGAACAAGACCAUCUGGCAGCAAUGCCAUGCGUUGGUGACUCUGAAUAACUGAGCCGAUCGCACGGGCUCGUCCCGGCGACGUAUCUUUCAAGUGUCUGCCUUAUCAGGUUUCGUUGGCGGUUUAUGUGACCGCCAAGCCUGUAACGGGUAACGGAGGAUCAGGGUCUGACUCCGGAGAGGGAGCCUGAGAAACGGCUACCACUUCUAAGGAAGGCAGCAGGCGCGCAAAUUACCCAUUCUUGGCUCAAGGAGGUAGUGACGAAAAAUACCAAGGUGAGGCUCAUCGAGCUUCACCAUUGGAAUGAGAACAAUCUAAAUCCUUUAACGAGGAUCUAGUGGAGGGCAAGUCUGGUGCCAGCAGCCGCGGUAAUUCCAGCUCCGCAAGUGUAUUCCUAUACUGUUGCGUUUAAAUAGCUCGUAGUUGGAUCUGCGUGUUUAGCGCGCGGUGUCACUACUUGUGACUACUGCGACGCGGCACAAAGCGCUAAGUACUUGUAAAAGUAGUUAGCCAGUUUACUUUGAACAAAUCAGAGUGCUCAAAACGGGCGUUUCGCUCGAAUGUUCUUGCAUGGAAUAAUGGGAUAGGACCGCGCGUUCUAUUUUUGUGGUUUUCGGGACGCGGGUAAUGAUUGAGAGGGACAGACGG